AGUGAACGCUGGCGGUAGGCCUAACACAUGCAAGUCGAACGGCAGCACAGUAAGAGCUUGCUCUUACGGGUGGCGAGUGGCGGACGGGUGAGGAAUACAUCGGAAUCUACUUUUUCGUGGGGGAUAACGUAGGGAAACUUACGCUAAUACCGCAUACGACCUACGGGUGAAAGCAGGGGAUCUUCGGACCUUGCGCGAUUGAAUGAGCCGAUGUCGGAUUAGCUAGUUGGCGGGGUAAAGGCCCACCAAGGCGACGAUCCGUAGCUGGUCUGAGAGGAUGAUCAGCCACACUGGAACUGAGACACGGUCCAGACUCCUACGGGAGGCAGCAGUGGGGAAUAUUGGACAAUGGGCGCAAGCCUAAUCCAGCCAUACCGCGUGGGUGAAGAAGGCCUUCGGGUUGUAAAGCCCUCUUGUUGGGAAAGAAAAGCAGCAGGUUAAUACCCCGCUGUUCUGACGGUACCCAAAGAAUAAGCACCGGCUAACUUCGUG
rnacentral:rRNA from 1 species